ACCUAGGUACUUCCCUUUCCUCAGCCUCCCCUUCUCCUCUCCAGCCCUCCCACGCCUGCCGCCGCCGGCUUGCGACCUACCUGCAUCCCUGCACGCCGCCCCUCACCACUCCCCUAUGAUCCUCUGUCCCGGCACCGCUCCUCACCGCUGCCCUGCGACCCUCCGUCCUAGCGCGCCGCCCCUCAUCACCACCCCUGCAACCCUGCAUCCCGGCGCGCUGCCCCUAGUCGCCGCUCCCCUGCGACCAAUGGUGAAUCCAAGGUACGGCCAUGAACAAGCACAGGCAACCGAAUCCCUCGUUCCACAUCCGCAGCCCCUCGCGUACCAAUGCAUCAUCGACAUCUGUAGCCCCAUUCGUCCUCCUCCGGUGCUCCUCCUAAUUGUUCUCCAUUAUUCACGUGUCCUCCGUGUAAAACGAUCCAGGAAGCCUCUCCUUUUUUAAAAAUAGGAAUCCUCUCCGCGAUCCCUGCUCUGCAACCUUUUAAUAUCUACUGCACCACGACAUCCUUCCAAUCUCGCAUUCCAUGCCCAACCAAAACUGAAAUCCAAUGCAGUGGAGAAGGCGGUACAUCAAAAACAGUUUGUAUCUGAUUGGACAGCCCCUAUUGUUGGUGAAGUUGCCGAGAAGAGGAACUAUUGCAGGCUGGUCGCAGGUGCUAUACAAGCGAUUAGGUGAUUCAAUACAGCGAAGGCAUGGUCGUACCUCUGCACAGCGAACUCAAGCACCACUUCUAAUAUUGUUGGAAAGUGGAUAAGUCGUUUUGGAGCAUUACACGAUUUGUUCAAUCUACUUCACUAUGUUCCUUACAUGCAAAAGAUGGAAUAUCUUUGAUAGUGUUGUUGCAGACUUGAAGGUAUAUGCAUCAGGAGGUCAAGGUGGCAGUGGCACCGUAACAGUAUUUAUUUGAAACUACACGCGAGGUCAAAAAAUGAUUCUAAGUUAACCUCUUUCCUCAUAUAUUUUUGUCUACUUGGUUUGUUUUAAUGCCGUUCUUUUGUUAAAUUGAUGUACUAAAUAAUUAAGAACAUUUAUGGUGCUAGAACUUGCUUAGGAAGAGCUCUUAUGAAAUUAAGAUCUGGUUUUUGUAAUUCGCUGACUGAAUCCAUGAUACUAAACUGCAUGUUUAUUGUAGUUCAUAUAUAUGUUAUACAUACACGUGCAGUUACUAGGCACGCAUUGUGAGUAGAUAAGUUGAGUCUCCAUUUAUUUCGUUAAGCACAAAAUAUGACCUUGCAUACAUGUAUUUCCAUUCUCAUAUAAUGGAAAAUAUACUAAAGGAAAGGCUCAUCCUGUAUGCUUCUGAUUCAUGUUGAAAGUGUGUAACCUGUUUGCCGCAAUUCUUCCUCUUCACAUAAUAGGAAAAGGUCAGUAACAAAAAAAGGAAGCUUGCUGAGCAUGUCAUUACAGAUCACCUGACGAAAGCCCAGGCGAUGAAGAGGAUAAUCAAGUGGAGAGCCCCCACCGAGGACGUAAAAUGGCUGAAUGAACUUCUCAUCCGCGCUAUGGCUGCAUCCCGUGCCUCCAGGUGUGUAGGUAUUGGCUUCAUACUGUUCUAUUUUAUACACGCACGUACUGGACUAGAGGUAUGAUUUCUAGGACAAUUUAUUAUUACUACUUUACACCUUUUCGCAUGAUGCAUGGAUGAGGAGCUGAGCAUGGAUCAUAUGAUUAGUUGCAGUGGGGCUAAGCUAAAAGAGGAUUAAUGAUGCUUACAAUACAUAUAUACACAGCCACGCAUUUUGUGAUAUUGGUUCAAAAUAUAAAUGGAUGAUUAUAUAGGUGAGUGGCAAAUAUACUGAUGAUGCUGGAUGCUUUCAAUUUUAGUUAAGUUGUAGGAAUGAUGUUCCUUUGUUAAGUUUUAGUUAAGUUGUAGCGAUGUUGAGGGAUGAUUUUGGUUUUCGAUUUGUUGUCAAGAAAAUAUUUAGAUUAUGCAUCACAUUUGGAUGAUGUUCCUCCUGUAAUAUCCACUGUUGUAAUCCAACAAUUUUAUAUAAUAUAUGAUUUUCUUCCUCC